rnacentral:lncRNA from 1 species
UAGACAUCCCUUCGUGCGCGCUAGCGCUCCCUUUUGGGAAUACGAGUGACAUAGAUCAUGUUCACUGUUUUCACCUCCGAGGGAAAAUGCUUUUGGCCCCCGGUGUUUGGCUGACGGGGCUCGUCAUCGUCCUCACUUGGAGGUACCUUUCCCUUGUGUUCGGUAUUUAUCUUACCGGCCUAUUUGAAAACCCAACAGUUGAUGUUGGUGUGGUUAGCAGGCUUAUCGUGUGUACCAUGAAUCUGACAUGGCCUCUCAAGGAGUUUAUCCAAGCUAGAUGGACCAUCCCUGUUGCCUUUGAAAGGUUUCUUCCGCUGACCGGAUUUAGAAUCACUAAAUCCAGCAUUGACUGUCGUAUCAUCUACGUCAUCAUUGUUGCUCCGACAUUUGUUUUUAUUGCGGCGUGGUUUACAAUUGCCAUCCCUGGCCUCAGAAGUGCCGGGAUCGCCCCAACUUUUGCUUCUAUGAUCCAACCAGCUAUCCUCACCUGCGCAAAAACGGGUCAUAAGUGCAGUUAAGGCUGUCAUGGUCUUCGGCUUCUCCUGCCCGAGGUGUCAGGCGAGCCAUUCGUCCCGGACGCUGUGUUUGAAGGCCGCUAAGGCUUCAUCGUCCAUACAAUCCAUGAUUUGGUUAUUUUUAAUUAGGAACUUAUUUCGAAGCUUGCGAGCCGAUUCGCCUGGUUGCUGGAUUAUGUGACUCAAGUCGUCCACAUCUGGUGGUCGAACAUAAGUGCCCUGAAAGUUGGCCCGAAAAGCAUCUUCCAAAUCUUCCCAGGUUCCGAUGGAGUUCGCUGGGAGGCUAUUCAGCUAGUGCCGUGCUGGUCCUUUCAGCUUUAGACGAAGAUAUUUAAUGGCAUGGAGGUCAUCUCCACGAGCCAUAUGAAUGUGGAGAAGAAAAUCUUCAAUCUAGACGGUCGGAUCCGUCGUUCCAUCAUACUGCUCGAUGUUCACGGGUUUAAACCCUUCCAGAAACUGGUGUUGCAUUACCUCAUCGGUAAAGCACAUGGUGUGUGCGGCACCCCUCUAUCGUGCGACAUCAUGGCAGAGAUGGGAUGACAUCUGAGUUCGGUUCUAAUCCCUAAUAUUGUAAUGUUCAUCACGCCGGACUUCAUAGCCGUUAUCUCAUGCCAGGGCACGACCUCUUGAUCCGUAGAUCAAUCUGGUCUGACCGGCUUUGUUGGCCAGGUCCCGUUGCAAGUCAUAUGUGUAACCCGCAGCUACUGUCUCCUUGCCUCCUCGGCAAGGGGGUGCGGGCUGGUGUUCGGCUUGAUACGCCACUUUAUCCCGUCCACGUGGUGGUCGGUCUGGUUGGUCUGCCUAAUUAUAUUUCGACGAUAUUGGCUCAAGGGCUCCGUCGUGGAAUUGUGGCAGCAGCUUGCGCUUGGGGUAACUUUUGGUAGGUCUCUCGUGGUCGUAUUCCUCAACGGCCAGGACCUUGGUCCACCUUUCAUUGAGUGUAUCAAGUUCAACUUUGAGCUGCUGUUGUUUCUUUUUCAGGCUCCGUGUUGUGGCGAUGAGCUGUCGCUUGAACCAUUCUAGCUCGAGGGGUUCCUCUGGGACAAUAAAAUCUCCGUCACCGAGGCCAACAUCCUCUUCGGAGACUGGCAUAUAAUUGAUGUCUUUCGAAUCUUUGUGAUCAGCGUGUUCGGGGCUAUACUAACCCUCCUCCCUCUCAUCAUGUUCGGAUGUGGGCUCGAUGGGGUGUUCGGGAUCUUCGGCACUAUCCAGGGUCUCAUUAUCUCCGGUGCCGGUAUUACUAUCAUUCGCCCGACCCGAUCGUGAGCGGCACUGCUGACGUAUGUGCUUUGGUGGUUUAUCGACGAGCUUGUCCUCAUCGGGAUUCUGAUUAUCCUCGUCGUCCUUUUUAUCAGGAGUGUCCAUCAUGUAUACGUCAUAUGUUGAAGUGGUCGUCCCGCGCCCUGCGGUGGGUGGGACUUGGCCUGAUUCAGCGUCAGCAUCGUCGUCCAUACCGUCGAUGUCUUCGGACGCGUUGUCCAUCAUGUAGGUUAGAUCCUCGACAGUGGCUAUUAAGUGGGUGGUGGGCGGGUCAUAAAAAUCCCCGCUCCUAGCCCCCAGCCCAUGCUGGGUGCAAUGUGGAGGCAAAGCUUCCGUAAUGGUGAGAGAUCGCAUCAAAACCCAGUGCUUCGUCUAAGGGCGAAAGGUGGGUGAGAGUUUGCGGAUCUGUAGUGCUAGGUUCGGCUACAGACACCUGAUCGGGCCGGAUCGACGCAGACCUUGAUAGUUCGGAGUUGUCGUCCAUAGGCGAGUCCAAAACCGCAUCUAGGCCUCCGGUCGGAAGUUCCAUGGUAAAAGAGUGUCCGGCGGGAGUGAUCCCCCCGUCUUCGGAUGAAACUACCCGCUCCGGAUCUACAGCCGAGGCAAGUGUGAGUGUUGACGCCUGGACGGGAUCUAAGAGCGGAUCCGAAGAGCUUCCUUCAUGGGGGCAAGGGGCGGCAACCGGGGCCGCGAACCCCUCGAAGACCAGAUCUCCUCGGAUAUCGGCGAUGUAAUUCAGGUUUCCAAACCUGAUCUGGUGGCCGGGGGCAUAACUGAAGACCUGCUCGAGGCAGCCGAUCGAGUUGGCACGAAUCAUGAAGCAGCCGAACACAAAGACUUGUCCGGGAAGAAAGGUUUCCCUGGAUGUAGCAUCAUCGUUGAUGAAGAGGUGAGCAUCAAUCCUUCUGUCGACGAUACAGCGGAACUCUCAAUGAAGGCACCAAUGUCGGUGUCAAAACCAGCGGAUCUCGGGUAGGGGGGCCCAAGUUUUAUGUCUGGGGAUCGAUGGUAACAAUGAUCAAAAGGACACAGUGUUUUCCCAGGUUCGGGCCCUCAUAAUGAAGGUAAAACCCUACUCCUUCUUGAUUAUAUUCGAUGAGUAUAGGGGUUACAAGAGUUGAUCUACGAUGAGUAUAGGGAUUACAAGAGUUGAUCUACGAUGAGUAUAGGGAUUACAAGAGUUGAUCUACCUCGAGAUCGUAAUUGCUAAACCCUAACUUGGCUAGCCUAUCAAUGUUAUGAUCCUGCUUUCGAUCUAACCCUCUGGUGUAUAUAGAUACCAUAGGGGCUUAGGGUUGUACAAAGUCGGCUUAACAGAAAGGAAAUAGCAUAUCCGGACACCUAAACUUACCAUUCACGUAUACAUGAGUCCCUACCGAACACGAGAGGUGGUCUUCUGCCUUGUAUCUUGACGGCCCAUCAGUCCGGCCCAUAUCCAAUAUACCGGACGCCCGAGGUCCCCUUAGUCCCGGACUCCCUCAACCGUGCCCGUGGGAAGGAGCUACGCAAGGUUCGCGACGCUCGACAUGACCUUGUUCAUGGUAGGCGUCGGCACUGCCGUGCCGGCAGCUCCUAUCUCACUGUCGUCGUUGUUUAUUGGUGGAAUUAUCUGGUUCGCCGUGGAUGAUGACCCAGAAGAAGGAGAAGAAGCUGCCAUUGUAAGUACAUACUGUGCUUGAUUAGGGGGUGCUCGCGUCAUAAGGAAUGUUCAACUUGCAGUUAUAUAGGCAAAUUAAUUCGAUGCCGACGAUUCCGAAGUCCAGUGUCCAAGCUAGGUACACAUGCAUGUAUACCUUGGAUUGAAUCAAUAGUGCACACUGGCUAAAUAAACUAGGUGAUUUCUCCGCGCGUUGCUGCAGGAUUUUAAAGAUUAGUUUUGAAUAAAUUUUGUAUGAACCAAAUGUUCUAAAUCAAUAGCUAUUAUAUUCGGAAGUAAUUGUGUUAACAAAGAGUAUUCAUUUACGCUGGACCACUGGAGAUGGAACAAUUAAAUUGGAGUAUGCAUGUUCUACAAAAUAGUUGUAGUGGAUGAUAAUGUGGCACGUUAGUGACGUGGAGGGCUGCAUGUUGCCAGAAUUAUAGUUAGUGGGGAUCAACUAUUUAGAUAUUAUAGAUUAAUAUACAGUGUCUGCUAAUUGAACACUAGCAUAUGCUAAUAACGUAUUUUAAGGGUGGCAGUAUUUUUUUCAUUGGUUUGAACUCUAUUUUUUGGUACGGAUGAUUGGUUUGAACUCUCUAACUAGGUGUGUUUAAAAGUUGGUGUAAAUUGUAAAUAAUUAUAACCGUGACUAAUUAAGCUAGCACGUUCAUUUCAUUGAUACUACAUACAUAUAUGCUAUUCAAGUCUUAUUUCGGAAAGGUGAGGAAAGAGAACUACAUAAGCAUCGAUCGGCUUGUGUAUAAUUGUGUAUAAGUAUGCACUCCCUCAAUCCUAAAGUGUAAGACAUAUUUUGACAAUACAUUAUGGGACGGAGUGAGUAAUUUUUAACUCACUUGAAUUUCCCAGAGGUCUCUCCUGGCUGGUUGAUUUCCGUGGGCAUUUCUGAAAGUGAUAAAGCUGAACCUUGCACGCAAGCAUGACAAUAGUUACUUGUGUGCUUGCAUGAAAAAGAAAUGGGAGCCACUUGGGAAGGACAACGGUUUUUUUCUACCACGACCACUAUAAAGUGCACGUUGACCAAGCGUUGAGAUUCGUGCGUUCAGAAUAUUUUCAUAUAUUUCGAAGCAUUAAGAUACACCUUGAGACACGCACACAAAAUCUCAUAAAGCUUAGUAAAAACCUGACAAGUGCACUCCCUUUUACUGGUACACAAUGAAACAUUAUAGUGUACGUGGGAUGUAUCUACGUUUAGAUACAUCCGUUUGAGCGUCAAAUAAUAUGAGGUCUAGAACCAUCUGUUUGAGCGUCAAAUAAUAUGGGUUGGAGGGAGUAUCUAGAUACAUCCGUUUGAGCGUCAAACAAUAUGGGACGGAGGGAGUAACAAACUUCGAAACAAAAAGAUAACCCAAUGAAAUAUUAUGUAAUGCUAUGAAAUAAGAUAAACUUCGACCAAAUUAGGAAUGUUGGGACGACUCUCCAAGUUACGCUACCCUUCUGGGUGGCUAUCUAAGCCCCUAUGGGAAUAACGGGAUGCUAUGUAGUGGCAAGAGUCAACAAGCACAGAAGGCUGCCGCGUGCAGAAUCCGGAGCGGCCAAGCUACGGUUGACGUCUUGACGAAGAGAUGAAGCGAUCAGAUAUUCAGAUUGAUGAAGAGACAAAGCGGCAUUGCCUGGCGAUGCUUCACCUAGGGCUACCAAUCAGUGAAGGCAAUUGGGACUGGCCAAUCUCGUUUAUUUUCUCCUGUAAUUUUUUUCCAUACCUAUGUUUUCCUUGGCUAUACUGUACGUGCAUACCAGAUUUUGGUACCCCAUGCCUGGGCCCUGAGCCAUCGCCACUCUGGCCAUAAACCAGAGCUGGCCCUAUCUGGAUUUUAUAAAUUAAUUUCUCAUACAUUUUUAUUUUUAUAUUUUUCUUUCAGAGUAAGAUUUUUAUCAUAGCUUAAACAGAACUAGUUAAGUUUUCAAAAGUGUAAAAGUUUCCAAAAGUCCUGAAAAAAAUACAACUUUAUGUGCCCUGGAAAAAAAAAGUACUUUAGUAUAUAUCACUACCAGAAUAAACCCCUAUGCCUACGGCUCAGGCCGUAGGCAUAGCCCUGAUUCCCGUCGGGAUAGGCCUAUGCCGACGGCCCCCGUAGGCAUAGGGCCGUCGGCAUAAUAUACGUCGGCGUAUCUCGGGAUGCCGUCGGCAUAGAAAAGCCGUCGGCAUAGAUGAUUUGCCGACGGUGUCCGUACAUCUAUGCCGACGGCCAGGGCCGUCGGCAACAUUCCACGCUAACGGUGGCCGCCGUCAAGUGCUGCCCCUAGAGGAGACGCCACGUGGCAGAGCUAUGCCUACGGUGUAGCCGUCGGCAUAGAUUUGAAACUAUGCCUACGGCUAGGCCGUAGGCAUAUCCCUGCCACGUGGCGGUGUCUACUAGCUCAGUGGGCACGGCUAUGCCUACAGCAUGGCUGUCGGCAUAUAUCUAAAGCUAUGCCUACGACUCUUCCGUAGGCAUAUGUUCCAGGCUAUGCCGACAGCCAAACUGUAGGCAUAGUUUAGAUAUAUGCCGACGGCCUAACUGUAGGCAUAGCCUCCACGUGUCGUCCCCUGGUAGCACAUGGUAACCCUAUGCCUAUGGCUAAGCCGUAGGCAUAGUUUGCGUCUAAUUUUUUUUCCUUUUUUCUGUUUGCUUUCAAUUCAAAUUCACAGCAUAUAUAUAUGAUGAAAUAGACAUACAGAACAUAUAUAAGUAUCAUCCUCACAACAAACACCAUCACAACAAUAUAAGUAUCAUGACAAACAUAACCAUCAUCGCAAACAUAAGCAUCUAAAGAAGCACACAAGUCAUCUAAAAGAUCACAAGUCAUCUAAAAGACCACCACCACCAAAAGACCACCACCACAAGUCAUCUAAAAGACCAUCACCACAAGUCAUCUAAAAGACCACCACCACAAGUUUAUGAUCACCACCACUGUCACCCAAAGGCUUAAGCGCUAGGACAUCCGCCACCACCGCCAAGGUCAUCACCGCCAAGUCCGCUGAAGCCUAGGUCAUCCCUGCUAGCGGCAGCGCUACCGCCAAGACCACC